rnacentral:rRNA from 1 species
UACGUAGGUGGCUAGCGUUGUCCGGAUUUACUGGGCGUAAAGCGCGCGCAGGCGGUCGUUCAAGUCGCGUGUGAAAGCCCCCGGCUCAACUGGGGAGGGUCACGCGAUACUGAUCGACUCGAAGGCAGGAGAGGGUAGUGGAAUUCCCGGUGUAGUGGUGAAAUGCGUAGAUAUCGGGAGGAACACCAGUGGCGAAGGCGACUACCUGGCCUGUUCUUGACGCUGAGGCGCGAAAGCUAGGGGAGCAAACGGG